rnacentral:rRNA from 1 species
CGCGUAGGCGGUUUGCUAAGUUGAAUGUGAAAACUCUGGGCUUAACCCAGAGCCUGCAUUCAAUACUGGCAGGCUAGACUUCUGGAGGGGAUAGCGGAAUUCCUGGUGUAGCGGUGAAAUGCGUAGAUAUCAGGAGGAACACCGGUGGCGAAGGCGGCUAUCUGGACAGAGUCUGACGCUGAGGCGCGAAAGCUAGGGAGCAAACA